UACGUAGGUGGCAAGCGUUGUCCGGAUUUAUUGGGUUUAAAGGGUGCGUAGGUGGCCCUGUAAGUCAGUGGUGAAAUAUCUCAGCUUAACUGAGAGGGUGCCAUUGAUACUGCAGGGCUUGAGUACAGAUGAGGUAGGCGGAAUUGACGGUGUAGCGGUGAAAUGCGCAGAUAUCAGGAGGAACACCGGUGGCGAAGGCGGAUCUCUGGGCCUUACCUGACGCUCAGGCACGAAAGCUAGGGGGAGCGAACAGG
rnacentral:rRNA from 1 species